rnacentral:rRNA from 1 species
UACGAAGGGGGCUAGCGUUGCUCGGAAUUACUGGGCGUAAAGCGCACGUAGGCGGCUCUUUAAGUCGGGGGUGAAAUCCUGGAGCUCAACUCCAGAACUGCCUUCGAUACUGAAGAGCUUGAGUCCGGGAGAGGUGAGUGGAACUGCGAGUGUAGAGGUGAAAUUCGUAGAUAUUGGGAAGAACACCAGUGGCGAAGGCGGCUCACUGGCCCGUAACUGACGCUGAGGUGCGAAAGCGUGGGGAGCAAACAGG